GGAAGUGCAUGGUUUUACUCUAAGGCGGGUUUUGAACACAUGAUGGGUUUUCUCCCCUCUUUCUGCCUUCAGUCCUGCCCUGUCUCAGUGACCAGGUCACUGGCCUAGACGAUGUCAGUGAAGCGGGGAAGUUGGCAAGCUGAGGGAGAGAAAAGGCCUCCAACCUCCACGCUGUUUAUCAUCAUGCUGAUGGAGACACUGCAGCUGCUGUACAGCAAGAUGACAUCAAUAAGCUGUGUUUACCUACACUAAAAAUCCCUUGGCCGACACCUGCCUCAGGGAGCGUACUGCACACGCAGUGGGAGCUGUCCACCAAGCUGGUGUUGAACGCUGUAAGCACUGGAGCUCACGUCUUAAAGGGGAAGAUCUACCAGAGCCACGAGAUCGACGCGCAGGUCGCCGACAGCAAACCCUGCCGCAGAGCCACAGGUUUACUCCAGGCGGAUAGAAUCAGACCCUUAACAGAACAUAAACAGGAUUUUAACCCAACAACUCCACCAAUAUAUACAUGUCUUAAUCCUUUUUAGGAGUUUUUGUCCGGUG